rnacentral:rRNA from 1 species
CCUGGCUCAGGACGAACGCUGGCGGCGUGCCUAAUACAUGCAAGUCGAACGGUCUUUCUAUGGAAGCUUGCUUCCGCUGAGAAGAUAGUGGCGAACGGGUGAGUAACACGUGGGUAACCUGCCCAUAAGAGGGGGGAUAACAUCCGGAAACGGGUGCUAAUACCGCAUAGUUUUCUUGAUCGCAUGAUCGGGAAAGAAAAGACGGCCUUUGUGCUGUCGCUUAUGGAUGGACCCGCGGCGUAUUAGUUAGUUGGUGAGGUAACGGCUCACCAAGACGAUGAUACGUAGCCGACCUGAGAGGGUGAUCGGCCACAUUGGGACUGAGACACGGCCCAAACUCCUACGGGAGGCAGCAGUAGGGAAUCUUCCGCAAUGGACGAAAGUCUGACGGAGCAACGCCGCGUGAGUGAAGAAAGGUUUUCGGAUCGUAAAACUCUGUUGUCAGAGAAGAACAAGUUGGAGAGUAACUGCUCCAGCCUUGACGGUAUCUGACCAGAAAGCCACGGCUAACUACGUGCCAGCAGCCGC